rnacentral:rRNA from 1 species
UUUCCGGUUGAUCCUGCCGGACCCGACCGCUAUCGGGGUGAGGCUAAGCCAUGGGAGUCGCACGCCCCGAUUACCGGGGCGUGGCGGACGGCUGAGUAAUACGUGGCUAACCUACCCUCGGGACGGGGACAGUCCCGGGAAACUGGGGCUAAUCCCCGAUAGGUGGGGACUCCUGGAAGGGGCCCCACCUAAAGGGUUCUGCGGGGAUGUCCGCAAAGCCGCCCGAGGAUGGGGCCACGGCCCAUCAGGUAGUUGGCGGGGUAACGGCCCGCCAAGCCUAUAACGGGUAGGGGCCGUGAGAGCGGGAGCCCCCAGAUGGGCCCUGAGACAAGGGCCCAGGCCCUACGGGGCGCACCAGGCGCGAAACCUCCGCAAUGUGGGAAACCGCGACGGGGUCACCCCGAGUGCCGCCCGAUGAGGGCGGCUUUUCCUCGGUGUAAGAAGCCGGGGGAAUAAGCGGGGGGCAAGUCUGGUGUCAGCCGCCGCGGUAAUACCAGCCCCGCGAGUGGUCGGGACUUUUAUUGGGCCUAAAGCGUCCGUAGCCGGCCCGGUAAGUCCCUUCUCAAAGCCCACGGCUCAACCGUGGGACGGGAGGGAUACUGCCGGGCUAGGGGGCGGGAGAGGCCGGGGGUACUCCCGGGGUAGGGGCGAAAUCCGUUAAUCCCGGGAGGACCGCCAGUGGCGAAGGCGCCCGGCUGGAACGCGCCCGACGGUGAGGGACGAAAGCUGGGGGAGCAAAGGGGAUUAGAUACCCCCGUAGUCCCAGCUGUAAACGAUGCGGGCUAGGUGUUGGGCGGGCUUCGAGCCCGCCCAGUGCCGCAGGGAAGCCGUUAAGCCCGCCGCCUGGGGAGUACGGCCGCAAGGCUGAAACUUAAAGGAAUUGGCGGGGGAGCACCACAAGGGGUGAAGCUUGCGGUUUAAUUGGAUUCAACGCCGGG